rnacentral:lncRNA from 1 species
ACAACAUUCAGAGGAGCCAAAGGUGGAGUUGGGGCAAUCUACACCAACCCAAAUUGAGAUGCCAAUCCACGUGCUUUUUCCGGAAGUGAAGAACUUGUUGAGUAACAUGGAAAUGGCCAAGCCGAAAAAAGAGUUGCUUUGGAAAUGAGUUGGGAUUCAAGAGCCGUGUAGCCAUCAAGUUGAGAAAGGAAAAUCAAGUGGAUGGAAAUGGAAGAAUCGCCAA